AUUGAACGCUGGCGGCAUGCCUUACACAUGCAAGUCGAACGGCAGCACGGGUGCUUGCACCUGGUGGCGAGUGGCGAACGGGUGAGUAAUAUAUCGGAACGUACCUUAUUGUGGGGGAUAACGCAGCGAAAGCUGUGCUAAUACCGCAUAAUCCCUAAGGGGGAAAGCGGGGGACCGUAAGGCCUCGCGCAAUUAGAGCGGCCGGUACCUGAUUAGCUAGUUGGUGAGGUAAAGGCUCACCAAGGCAACGAUCAGUAGCUGGUCUGAGAGGACGAUCAGCCACACUGGGACUGAGACACGGCCCAGACUCCUACGGGAGGCAGCAGUGGGGAAUUUUGGACAACGGGGGCAACCCUGAUCCAGCAAUGCCGCGUGAGUGAAGAAGGCCUUCGGGUUGUAAAGCUCUUUUGUCAGGGAAGAAACAGCAGCUCUAACACAGUUUGCGAAUGACGGUACCUGAAGAAUAAGCACCGGCUAACUACGUGCCAGCCGCCGCAGUAA
rnacentral:rRNA from 1 species